rnacentral:lncRNA from 1 species
UCUCUCUCCCUGUCUAGGUCCACUGAGGGCCAGUCUCUCUCUACCGUCGUCCACUGAGGGCCUCAGUCUUCUCUUCUACCUGUAGUCCACUGAGGGCCAGUCUCUCUUUACCUGUAGUCCACUGAGGGCCAGUCUCUCUCCUACCUGUAGUCCCCUGAGGGCCAGUCUCUCUCCUACCUGUAGUCCACUGAGGGCCAGUCGUUAUAAUCUUCAUACGUCUCUGUAUUUAGUGUUUGCUGGUCUUCUUAGCCAGAGUCUUCAGUUAUACAGAGCGGUCGACUGUCAGUUCCUCACCUCCUUUCAGCACCUUCCAUACAACCUACACAGGACGGACACGGGACAGACUGUAAUAUACGGUAGUAACAUGUCAUAGCCG